rnacentral:rRNA from 1 species
UCGAGAAUCUUCGGCAAUGGGCGCAAGCCUGACCGAGCGACGCCGCGUGGAGGAUGAAGGCCUUCGGGUUGUAAACUCCUGUCGAGGGGGAAGAAGGGUCGAAAGACCUUGACUGAUCCCUGGAGGAAGCACGGGCUAAGUUCGUGCCAGCAGCCGCGGUAAGACGAACCGUGCGAACGUUAUUCGGAAUCACUGGGCUUAAAGCGCGUGUAGGCGGGACGGCACGUCUGUCGCUGAAAUCCCCCGGCUUAACCGGGGAACUGGCGUAGAUACGACCGUCCUUGAGGGGCGUAGGGGGACCUGGAACUUCCGGUGGAGCGGUGAAAUGCGUUGAGAUCGGAAGGAACGCCCGUGGCGAAAGCGAGGUCCUGGACGCCUACUGACGCUGAGACGCGAAAGCCAGGGGAGCGAACG